GAUGAACGUUGGCGGCGUGCCUAAUACAUGCAAGUCGAACGAAGACUGUAGUAAUACUGUCUUAGUGGCGAACGGGUGAGUAACGCGUGGGUGACCUGCCCCGAAGUGUGGGAUAACAGUCCGAAAGGAUUGCUAAUACUGCAUAAUAUCCAAGAGAUUAGAUGCUUUUGGAUUAAAGGAGUAAUUCGCUUCGGGAGGGGCCCGCGUCCCAUCAGCUAGUUGGUAAGGUAAUGGCUUACCAAGGCGAUGACGGGUAGGGGACCUGAGAGGGCGGCCCCCCACAAUGGAACUGAAACACGGUCCAUACACCUACGGGUGGCAGCAGUAGGGAAUAUUAGUAAUGGGCGAAAGCCUGAACUAGCAACGCCGCGUGUGCGAAGAAGGCCUUCGGGUUGUAAAGCACUUUUUGAGAGGAUGAGGAAGGACGGUACUCUCAGAAUAAGUCUCGGCUAACUACGUG
rnacentral:rRNA from 1 species